AGAAUCAACGCUGGCGGCGUGCCUAACACAUGCAAGUCGAACGAGAAAGGGAUUUCGGUCCUGAGUAUAGUGGCGCACGGGUGAGUAACACGUGAAUAAUCUACCUCCGAGUGGGAAUAACUGAGAGAAAUCUUAGCUAAUACCGCAUAACACUUACGAGUCAAAGCAGCAAUGCGCUUGGAGAGGAGUUCGCGGCCGAUUAGUUAGUUGGCGGGGUAAUGGCCCACCAAGACGAUGAUCGGUAU
rnacentral:rRNA from 1 species